rnacentral:rRNA from 1 species
CAGGCCUAACACAUGCAAGUCGAACGAGACCUUCGGGUCUAGUGGCGCACGGGUGCGUAACGCGUGGGAAUCUGCCCUUGGGUUCGGAAUAACAGUUAGAAAUGACUGCUAAUACCGGAUGAUGACGUAAGUCCAAAGAUUUAUCGCCCAGGGAUGAGCCCGCGUAGGAUUAGCUAGUUGGUGGGGUAAAGGCCUACCAAGGCGACGAUCCUUAGCUGGUCUGAGAGGAUGAUCAGCCACACUGGGACUGAGACACGGCCCAGACUCCUACGGGAGGCAGCAGUGGGGAAUAUUGGACAAUGGGCGAAAGCCUGAUCCAGCAAUGCCGCGUGAGUGAUGAAGGCCCUAGGGUUGUAAAGCUCUUUUACCCGGGAUGAUAAUGACAGUACCGGGAGAAUAAGCUCCGGCUAACUCCGUGCCAGCAGCCGCGGUAAU